rnacentral:tRNA from 1 species
GGGUUGCGGUUGUGAUGGCAAGCAUGCCGGCCUCCAAAGCCGUGCGGAUGGGGUUCGAAUCCCUGGCAGCCCGCCA